rnacentral:rRNA from 1 species
CCUACGGGUGGCAGCAGUGAGGAAUAUUGGUCAAUGGUCGCGAGCCUGAACCAGCCAAGUCGCGUGAAGGAGGACUGUACUGAGUAUCGUAAACCUCUUUUGUAAAGGAAUAAAGACUGGCACGUGUCCCCGUUUGUGUGUACUUGAUGAAUAAGCAUCGGCUAACUCCGUGCCAGCAGCCGCGGUAAUACGGAGGAUCCGAGCGUUAUCCGGAUUUAUUGGGUUUAAAGGGUGCGUAGGUGGGUUGUUAAGUCAGUUGUGAAAGUCUGGGGCUCAACCGUAAGCGCGCAGUUGAAACUGGCAGUCUCGAGUAGAGGUGAGGUAGGCGGAAUGCGUGGUGUAGCGGUGAAAUGCAUAGAUAUCGCGAAGAACUCCGAUUGCGAAGGCAGCAUACUAA